CCCAGCGGGCGACCGCGACGCACACUAGGUUCUCCGGCUCCAGCUCCUGCGCCGCCUGUUGCUCGCUCCUCCGGGCGGCCGCUUCCCGCCCGGUGCGCAGGAGUAGGCGGCCCGAGAGCGCACAGGGAGCCUCCCGCUUUCGUCCCCUCCCCGCACUGCACGAGCGGAUCGGAGGGGCCCCGAGUGUCCCUGAGAGCGCGGACGCGGGCGAGCAGCCCAGUGCACCCGGGACUGCGCGCCGAGACCCCCGGCGCCGCGCCGCGAUGAAUGCGACCUUCCUGAAUCACAGCGGCUUGGAGGAGGUGGGCGGCGUGGGAGGCGGCGCCGGGGCAGCCCUGGGGAACCGCACCCACGGGCUGGGCACGUGGCUGGGCUGCUGUCCCGGGGGCGCACCGCUGGCCGCCAGCGAUGGAGUCCCCGCGGGGCUGGCGCCAGACGAGCGCAGCCUGUGGGUGUCACGGGUGGCGCAGAUCGCCGUGCUCUGCGUGCUGUCGCUUACCGUGGUCUUCGGCGUCUUCUUCCUGGGCUGCAACCUGCUCAUCAAGUCCGAGAGCAUGAUCAACUUUCUGGUGCAGGAGCGCCGGCCCUCCAAGGACGUGGGUGCCGCCAUCCUGGGGCUGUACUGAGCGCCAUCUGGGCCCGCCCUCGCCAGCGCUGCUGCAAGAAGGACCCCGGAGACCCGGACCCUCGCCCGGUUCUCUCUGCGCUCUGCCGCUGCCUCCGGGCUGGCAGCUACGUGCCUGGGGCGCCAGGGCGGGGACGCGGCGAGACUCUCGGCGGGGGCGCGGGAAGGGACUUGGACGCCUGGCUCCGUCCUGUGUGCGCUGCAGCGUUGCGGCCUGAGCUCCAGCCACAGAAUCCUCCUGCCCUUCCCAGAGCACACCCCUUUGCCAGAUGACUUCCUCUGCUGAGACCUUCCUCCCAGGCUCCACCGGCUGCAGUCUGACUCAUCUGAGAUUCAGAUCAAAAGCCUCCUCCAGGGUCCCAGGCUAGACAUGAGCAUCAUUCAAGGGGAGUGUGGCAGACUGUACUUUCCAAAGAUGGCCAUCCCCUGUGUCGAUUCCAUCCCACCUGCUCUUCUUAGAAUGUGACCGACAUUCUUCCCACUGAGAGGCAGCUGGGGACUUGUGACCAUGUGGCUUGUGAUCACAACAGUCAAAGUAGUAUGGCAAAACAGAGGCCCUGUGAUUUCCGAGGCUUGAUCAUAGAAAGCGCACAGAUUCCACCUGCUCUCUCCCUUGGGAUACUCACCCUUGGAACUCAGCCACCAUGACCUGAGGAAGCCCUGGCCCCAUGGAGAAGCCGUGUGCAGGUGUUCCAGAGGAUAGUCCCAGCCCAGGGCUCAGCGACAAUGUGUGCCAGCCACAUCAGUGAACUUUCAGAUGAUUCUCCUCCCAGCCUUCGAAUCUUCCAUCUGAGGCCCCAGACAUCACUGAGCAGCGACAGCUAUCCCAGUCAUGCCUGGUCCCCAGUUCUUAUGCUGAGAAGCUGUGAGGCAUAGCAACUGAGAGCUACUGCCGUCAGCCCCCAUGUUUUGUGGUGAUUUAUCAAACAGCAGUGGAUCACAAUGCAGGUGGGUCAUGUCUGUUCUCCAAAGCCCAGCCCUGUGACUGGUACCUGGUGGGUGCCCAGUUUGUAGCUACCGAAAGAACGGAUGAAUGAACUUUAGCAGGCAACAAUUCCAGACUGACCUGUCAAUCAUCAUCCUCAUCUUUGCUACAUCUUCCCACCAUGGUUCCACUCCUCUCAGGGAACCUAGGCAGUCCCAAGCCCAGCCUUGAUGAUGUCACUGAGCCCUAAAUCAACCAGCUCUGCAGGCUGCCCCGCAUCCACAAGUUCUUACUAAUUAAGCUCCUUAGAUCAGUAUCCAAUCGUAGCAGCAAGAUUCUGGGAUUUCUGGCGCUUGCAGCCCUGCGCAUCCUCACUGAUCCACGUGCUUGAUUGGUUUUGUCUUCACCACAGUUCUGUGAAGUAGGCCAUUAUUAGCAUUCCCAUUUCCCCUAUGAGGACACUGAGGCUGGGAGAGAAACAGGGAGUGAGCAAGUCCUAAUAGGUAAUGAACUGGAGAUUUGAGUUCAGGUCUUCUGAUGCCAAACACAGGAAUACAUGUGCGAUAUCGUAUCUUGUAACAAAUAAACUCUAACUGGCAAAUA